rfam:Ficedula albicollis isolate OC2 chromosome 1A, whole genome shotgun sequence.
ACAAAGGCUCUUCUCCAGAGCCACCUGUAAUCACCUUGACUGUGUGU